UGGCCACAUCAAAUUGAAACAGCAGUUCCUAUAUAAUCACCAAAGUUAAGCAACAUUGAGCCUGGUCAGUACCUAGAUGGGUGACCAUUUGAGAAUACCGGCUGCUGUA